rnacentral:lncRNA from 1 species
GAAUAUAACCCUAGGCAUGUAUCCAGAUCAUCCAAUAUCACAUAGGACUAUAAUCCUAUGCGAAUUUUUGAUUGGAUUUGCAAUAGCCUGAGAAAACAUACUUGGUUCGGGGAGGUUCAAACAAAAACUCAUGAGGACCAUCAUCUUCAGUCGCCAUCUCUUGGUCGCUGGCGGUGUGGGGUGGAGUCGGCCUCCUGCCGUCGAAUCCAGUCGCCAUCUGUUGGUCGCCGGCGGUGUGGGGUGGACUCGGCCUCCUGUCGUCGUCUUUAGUCGCCAUCUCGACAAGGAACUGAGAGUCGUUGGGUCGCGUCACCCCCCUCUCCCCCACGAACAUCAAGGAAACGUGAUUAAUGGCGCCAGAAUUUUAGUAGAUGGGGAUUGGUAAAAAUAUAUGGAAGGGUUAUUUCGGCGGGGCUAGGGGGAAAUUUGGGCAGGGCAAGCGGGAAAAAUUUGGCUGGGGAGGAGGAGGAGGUGUUUUGGUAUAUAUCAACAUGUUAUGUUUCAUGCGUGUUUAAUUGGAACAUUUGAGCAAUGUGUUCAAUAUUGAAAUCACUAUGCACAUUGCUUCAUCUAUACAUGUAUAUAUUCACGUGGCACACAAUAAGCUCCCAUUUGGCAUGGCUCAUCCAAAUAAAACGGCUUCACCGGUGAAGCUAAUGCCUGUGAAGCCAAUAAACAUAAGGCAUAUCCCUUAGUGAGAGAGAAU